GAAGACGACGAGGUUGAUAGGUCAGGGGUGUAAGUGUGGUGACACAUUGAGCUGACUGAUACUAAUAGGUCGAGGGUUUAAUCAC
rnacentral:rRNA from 1 species